rnacentral:sRNA from 1 species
ACAUGGCCGCCGCCGCCGCUGGGAGCUGAAGUGCCGCCGCCGCCGGGCAGCCGGGGGGAAUCCGCCCGCAUCGCCGCCCUCGCCGGCCGGGCGGCCGUGGGGCCCAGAGCGCCGGAGGCCAGGGCUGGGGCGGCACCGCGCAGCGGCCACGGGGUCCCGUUAGAGCAGCGCCCGGCGGCUAUGCCAAGAGCCCGGAGCGGCCGGAGGAGCAGAGGGGCCGGCGGGAGGGAGGAAGUAGACCUUUCUGCGAGUACGAGCCAACCGGCAGACCCGACUGAAUGCUCGGAUUGGGAAAAUGAAACGGAGGAAGCAAGAUGAAGGGCAGGUAUGUCCCCUGUGCAACCGCCCCCUGGCAGGAUCGGAGCAGGAGAUGAGUAGGCAUGUGGAGCAUUGCCUUUCUAAGAGGGAAGGCUCCUGCAUGGCUGAGGAUGAUGCUGUGGACAUCGAGCAUGAGAACAACAACCGCUUUGAGGAGUAUGAGUGGUGUGGACAGAAGCGGAUACGGGCCACCACUCUCCUGGAAGGUGGCUUCCGAGGCUCUGGCUUCAUCAUGUGCAGCGGCAAAGAGAACCCGGACAGUGAUGCUGACUUGGAUGUGGAUGGGGAUGACACUCUGGAGUAUGGGAAGCCACAAUACACGGAGGCUGAUGUCAUCCCCUGCACAGGCGAGGAGCCUGGUGAAGCCAAGGAGAGAGAGGCACUCCGGGGCGCAGUCCUAAA